rnacentral:siRNA from 1 species
UAGAUGUCGCGGUUCGGUUCGG